rnacentral:lncRNA from 1 species
UUUUUUUUUCUCCAUCAGAGGAAACGAGACGUAAAAUACGUAAACAUAAUUACAAGGUCUGGAAAAAUAUCGUUUAAAAGUAUCGAAUAAUAUUUUCCCAGUUUGUUUUUCUUAAUUCAUGUUCAUCGAUUUGACAUUAUAUUAGGACGGAUGGUGUUUAAUAAAUAGAGAGAUAGAGAAUAUAUUUGUAAACAUCGUUUUCGAUGCAUGUCAUUACUGAAAGAAGGGGGAUGUCGUUUUAAUAAUUUUUGGUUUGAUUUUCAUAUUUUAUUGGAACAAAGGAGAAUCGAUUAUGUAGGAAGAAAUUGCAUAAUUUCUAUUUAGGAAGUCGAAGAUGACACGACCGAUGGAAGGUUAUAGCCAAGCCUACUAGCCGGGCUCAUAUUUGUGACGAAAUCAGAUGAAUAAUGUUUAGAAAACAAUUUGAGGAAUUUACAAUUGAAUCGAAAAUGUUUUACUCUGACAAUGGAGUAACAAUAAGAAUUAUUAGAAAACAUUCAUGCAAAAUGCAUAUUGUUACAAACAUGCGUAGAAUUGAGAUAGAGCGAGAUAUUUAUCAUUAUAAAUUUUUUAUUUCACUGUACAAUUCUUACCUGUCCAUAUUGAUGUCGUGUUCUGCAUUUUAUUCCAGAUUGUAAUUGAGAAAAGCCAUGUAUGCAAUGAUUGUACGUCAAUCGUAGCUGAUGGCCGACUGAACUCGAGAUUUGAACUUGACCAUACCGCGGUG